rnacentral:rRNA from 1 species
CACGUAGGAGGCGAGCGUUGUCCGGAAUCAUUGGGCGUAAAGAGCGCGCAGGCGGCUUGGCAAGUCGGGUGUGAAAUCCCGGGGCUCAACCCCGUGACUGCAUCCGAUACUGUCAGGCUAGAGGUAGGUAGGGGAGAUCGGAAUUCCUGGUGUAGCGGUGAAAUGCGCAGAUAUCGGGAAGAGCACCCGUGGCGAAGGCGGCUCUCUGGGACGGUACUGACGCUGAGACGCGAAAGCGUGGGGAGCGAACAGG